CGUAGGGUGCGAGCGUUGUCCGGAAUUACUGGGCGUAAAGAGCUCGUAGGUGGUUUGUCGCGUUGUCCGUGAAAACUCACAACUCAAUUGUGGGCGUGCGGGCGAUACGGGCAGACUGGAGUACUGCAGGGGAGACUGGAAUUCCUGGUGUAGCGGUGAAAUGCGCAGAUAUCAGGAGGAACACCGGUGGCGAAGGCGGGUCUCUGGGCCGAUACUGACGCUGAGGAGCGAAAGCGUGGGGAGCGAACAGG
rnacentral:rRNA from 1 species